UCGAACGAAUCCCCGUGGGGGUAACUCUGCGGGGGGAAGUGGCGAAAGGGGCAGUAAGGCGUGGCUAACCUACCCCGGGGACGGGGAUAGCCCUCCUAACGGAGGGGUAAUACCCGGCGAGUCGGCGAGGGGGCAUCCCCUUGCCGGGAAACGAGUUUCGCCUCGGGAGGGGGUCACGUGCUAUUACCUAGUUGGCGGGGUAACGGCCCACCAAGGGAAAGAUGGCUAGCGGGUGUGAGAGCACGACCCGCGCCACUGGCACUGAGACACUGGCCAGACUCCUACGGGAGGCUGCAGUCGAGGAUCUUCGGCAAUGGGCGCAAGCCUGACCGAGCGACGCCGCGUGUGCGACGAAGGCCUUCGGGUUGUAAAGCACUGUCGAGGGGGAGGAAAGCCGCAAGGUCUGACCUAUCCCUGGAGGAAGCACGGGCUAAGUUCGUGCCAGCAGCCGCGGUAAGACGAACCGUGCAAACGUUGUUCGGAAUCACUGGGCUUAAAGGGCGCGUAGGCGGCCUCGCAAGUCGGGGGUGAAAUCUUUCGGCUCAACCGGAAAAGUGCCCCCGAUACUGCAGGGCUCGAGGGGGAUAGGGGCGGACGGAACUUCCGGUGGAGCGGUGAAAUGCGUUGAUAUCGGAAGGAACGCCGGUGGCGAAAGCGGUCCGCUGGGUCCCUACUGACGCUGAGGCGCGAAAGCCAGGGGAGCAAACGGGAUUAGGUACCCCGGUAGUCCUGGCCCUAAACGAUGGGUACUAGGCCGUGGGCUUGACAUGGGCUCCCAGCCGAAGCA
rnacentral:rRNA from 1 species